rnacentral:rRNA from 1 species
GACGAACGCUGGCGGCGUGCUUAACACAUGCAAGUCGAACGGAAAGGCUCAGCUUGCUGGGUGCUCGAGUGGCGAACGGGUGAGUAACACGCGGGUGAUCUGCACCUAACUUCGGGAUAAGCUUGGGAAACUGGGUCUAAUACCGCAUAGGACUAUGCUAUGCAUGGGGUGGGGUGGUAAGCUUUUGCGGUGUGGGGUGGGCCCGCGGCCUAUCAGCUUGUUGGUGGGGUGAUGGCCUACCAGGGCGACGACGGGUAGCCGGCCUGGGAGGGUGUCCGGCCACACUGGGACUGAGAUACGGCCCAGACUCCUACGGGAGGCAGCAGUGGGGAUAUUGCACAAUGGGCGCAAGCCUGAUGCAGCGACGCCGCGUGGGGGAUGACGGCCUUCGGGUUGUAAACCUCUUUCAGCACAGACGAAGCGCAAGUGACGGUAUGUGCAGAAGAAGGACCGGCCAACUACGUGCCAGCCGCCGCAGUAA